GACGAACGCUGGCGGCGUGCUUAACACAUGCAAGUCGAACGGAAAGGCCCUGCUUUUGUGGGGUGCUUGAGUGGCGAACGGGUGAGUAACAUGCGAGUAACCUUCCCUUUACUUUGGGAUAACUUUAGGAAACUGGGGCUAAUACCGGAUAGGAGCUCCUGCUUCAUGGUGGGGGUUGGAAACUUUUGGCGGUUGGGGAUGAACCUGCGGCUUAUCAGCUUGUUGGUGGGGUAGUUGCUUACCAAGGAUUUGACGGGUAGCCAACAUGAUAGGGUGACCGGCCACAUUGGGACUGAGAUACGGACCAAAAUCCUAAGGGAGGCAGCGGUGGGGAAUAUUGCACAAUGGGCGGAAAACUGAUGCAGCAACACCGCGUGCGGGAUGACGGCCUUCGGGUUGUAAAACGCUUUCGCCUGUGACGAAGAGUGAGUGACGGAAAUGGGUAAAGAAGCACAGGAUAACUACGUG
rnacentral:rRNA from 1 species